UACGUAGGUGGCAAGCGUUGUCCGGAAUUACUGGGCGUAAAGAGCGUGUAGGCGGCUUGACAAGUCUGCUGUGAAAACUCGAGGCUCAACCUCGAGCUGUCGGCGGAAACUGUCAGGCUAGAGUCCGGAAGAGGAAAGUGGAAUUCCACGUGUAGCGGUGAAAUGCGUAGAGAUGUGGAGGAACACCAGUGGCGAAGGCGACUCUUUGGCCUGUAACUGACGCUGAGGCGCGAAAGCGUGGGGAGCGAACAGG
rnacentral:rRNA from 1 species